rnacentral:rRNA from 1 species
UACGGGGGGGGCAAGCGUUGUUCGGAAUUACUGGGCGUAAAGGGCUCGUAGGUGGCCAACUAAGUCAUGCGUGAAAUCCCUCGGCUUAACCGGGGAACUGCGUCUGAUACUGGAUGGCUUGAGUUUGGGAGAGGGAUGCGGAAUUCCUGGUGUAGCGGUGGAAUGCGCAGAUAUCAGGAGGAACACCGGUGGCGAAGGCGGGUCUCUGGGCCGAUAUUGACGCUGAGGAGCGAAAGCGUGGGGAGCAAACAGG